UGUGUAGGCGGGUUUGUGCGUCAGAGGUUAAAUACCCAGGCUUAACUUGGGAAAUGCCUUUGAUACGGCAAGCCUUGAGUAUAAGAGAGGAAGAUGGAAUUCCUGGUGUAGAAGUGAAAUUCGUAGAUAUCAGGAGGAACACCGGUGGCGAAGGCGGUCUUCUGGCUUAUUACUGACGCUGAGGCACGAAAGCGUGGGGAUCAAACA
rnacentral:rRNA from 1 species